rnacentral:rRNA from 1 species
GAGUUUGAUUAUGGCUCAGGAUGAACGCUAGCGGCAGGCCUCAUACAUGCAAGUCGAGGGGCAGCAGGACACUUCGGUGUUGCUGGCGACCGGCGCACGGGUGCGUAACACGUAUGCAAUCUGCCUUGUACUGGAGCAUAGCCCUCGGAAACGAAGAUUAAUACUCCAUACAGUCUUACUAGCGCCUGCUAGUAAGAUGAAAGCUCCGGCGGUACAAGAUGAGCAUGCAUCCCAUUAGCUUGUUGGUGAGAUAACAGCUCACCAAGGCUACGAUGGGUAGGGGUUCUGAGAGGAAGAUCCCCCACACUGGCACUGAGAUACGGGCCAGACUCCUACGGGAGGCAGCAGUAGGGAAUAUUGGUCAAUGGGCGCAAGCCUGAACCAGCCAUGCCGCGUGCAGGAUGAAGGCCCUCAGGGUUGUAAACUGCUUUUGUAUGGGAAUAAAAAAGUCCUUGCGAGGACUCUUGAAGGUACCAUAAGAAUAAGCACCGGCUAACUCCGUGCCAGCAGCCGCGGUAAUACGAAGGGUGCAAGCGUUAUCCGGAUUUACUGGGUUUAAAGAGUGCGUAGGCGGCUUCUUAAGUCAGUGGUGAAAGCUUAGCGCUUAACGCUAGAAGUGCCACUGAUACUGGGAAGCUUGAGUCAAGAAGAGGUAAGCAGAAUUCAUAGUGUAGCAGUGAAAUGCUUAGAUACUAUGAGGAAUACCAACAGCGAAGGCAGCUUACUGGUCUUGUACUGACGUUGAGGCACGAAAGCGUGGGUAGCGAACAGGAUUAGAUACCCUGGUAGUCCACGCCGUAAACGAUGAUCACUCGAUGUACACGCUAGUCGUGUGUGUCUAAGCAAAAGCAUUAAGUGAUCCACCUGGGGAGUACGCUCGCAAGAGUGAAACUCAAAGGAAUUGACGGGAGUCCGCACAAGCGGUGGAGCAUGUGGUUUAAUUCGAUAAUACGCGAGGAACCUUACCUGGGCUCGAAUGUCUCUGCUACCUCGAGAAAUCGA